CCUACGGGAGGCAGCAGUGAGGAAUAUUGCACAAUGGGGGAAACCCUGAUGCAGCGAAGCCGCGUGAGUGAAGAAGUAUCUCGGUACGUAAAGCUCUAUCAGCGGGGAAGAAAAUGACGGUACCUGACUAAGAAGCCCCGGCUAACUACGUGCCAGCAGCCGCGGUAAUCCGUAGGGGGCAAGCGUUAUCCGGAUUUACUGGGUGUAAAGGGAGCGUAGACGGCGCUGCAAGUCCGGAGUGAAAGACCAGGGCUUAACCAUGGUACUGCUCUGGAAACUGUAGAGCUUGAGUGCGGGAGGGGCAGGCGGAAUUCCUAGUGUAGCGGUGAAAUGCGUAGAUAUUAGGAGGAACACCGGUGGCGAAGGCGGCCUGCUGGACCGUAACUGACGUUGAGGCUCGAAAGCGCGGGGAGCAAACAGGAUUAGAUACCCUGGUAGUC
rnacentral:rRNA from 1 species